rnacentral:rRNA from 1 species
UAGCCGUAAACGAUACUCGCUAGGUGUCGGCCACGGUGCGACCGUUGUCGGUGCCGUAGGGAAGCCGUGAAGCGAGCCACCUGGGAGGUACGGCCGCAAGGCUGAAACUUAAAGGAAUUGGCGGGGGAGCACCACAACGGGUGGAGCUUGCGGUUUAAUUGGAUUCAACGCCGGAAAUCUUACCGGGACCGACAGCAACAUGAAGGCCAGGCUGAAGACUUUGCCGGAUUAGCUGAGAGGAGGUGCAUGGCGUAGUCGUGU